rnacentral:rRNA from 1 species
CAGCCGCCGCGGGAAUACGUAGGUGGCAAGCGUUGUCCGGAAUUAUUGGGCGUAAAGGGCUCGCAGGCGGUUUCUUAAGUCUGAUGUGAAAGCCCCCGGCUCAACCGGGGAGGGUCAUUGGAAACUGGGAAACUUGAGUGCAGAAGAGGAGAGUGGAAUUCCACGUGUAGCGGUGAAAUGCGUAGAGAUGUGGAGGAACACCAGUGGCGAAGGCGACUCUCUGGUCUGUAACUGACGCUGAGGAGCGAAAGCGUGGGGAGCGAACAGGAUUAGAUACCCCAGUAGUCCCUGUCUCUUAUAC